GUUAACUUAUUGGGACGACUUGUACUCUCUCUAGAUAAUUUGUUUUUUAUUUUUAUGUUAACUGAUGGAAACGAAUUGUCGUCCCUAAAAGUUAAUUCACAUACCGACAAUCCCAAAUCCAUUUCCCCCCAUUUCAUUACACGCCAAUCACAAAUCCAAUUUCCCCCAUUUCAUUACACACAAGCAAAAUCCAGCCACCAUCUCCUUAGUCCUUACCUGGUCACCACCUACGCAACCAUCACCACCGCAACGUCCACCUCCAUCGUUAAACCACCACCAUCGUUCUCACCUCAAACCACCACCGCCGCCGUAAUCUCCACCAAGUCGAAGUUCCAAAUCCAAAUCAUGAAACUUGGGCUCCACAAGCAGACUAGUAGCUGACUUCUAACAUAAAAUCGGGUUUUCGAGUUCGUGUUUCGGAUUUUGCACAGUUCCAAAGACUCCACAAGCAGCCGCUUCUAACGGAGUUGUAAUUGUAACCGAAAAGAAGCUCCCAUCCAUUUUAGUCGAUGAGACAUCGGUGCAAAAGAUCCAGUUUUUGACUCCUAUAUUGGAGUUGUUUACAGGUAAGAUUGCUUCACACAUGUUCUGUAGAAAUGACACACCUUGUCUUUGGGUGUUCCGUCUACUCUUGCUUUCAUAGCCUUCGAACUCCCACCUAAUGGAGCUAUUGGCACUCGGAUUCUGGAGUUCCUAUUUCGCUCCAGAUCUUAUAUGAUUGCAGGUGAUCGAUCGUCAGAAGUAUUGAUGAGGCUAUAACAACUGGCACUGCACUCUCGUUGUCAUCUUCUACAUUUGUUCUACAGGAAUGAAAGUCCCCUUGUAACACUAGUUACUUUCUUGAGUUGAAGACCAUCACUAACAUGAAGAGCUUUCUGAACCGCGGGUUUAUUGUAGUAACCUUUUGCAUAAUCAUCAAGGCAAGGAUCAUACCCACCAAGUAUGCGAGGCAUCUAAACAAAUGAGAAAAAAGUUGGUUGAAUUAUUAUAGUGAUUUAAUUAAUGUUUUGUGAAUUAAUAUAUAUAUUAGUGGGAUGCCCGGCCAUUGAACAAAUGAAAAGUUUACCAUCUUAGAUGUGGUCUUCUUGAA